GGGCCCGCACAAGCGGUGGAGUAUGUGGUUUAAUUCGAUGCAACGCGAAGAACCUUACCAGGGUUUGACAUCCUGCGAAUCCCUUGGAAACGAGGGAGUGCCUUCGGGAGCGCAGUGACAGGUGGUGCAUGGCUGUCGUCAGCUCGUGUCGUGAGAUGUUGGGUUAAGUCCCGCAACGAGCGCAACCCACGUCGUUAGUUGCCAGCAUUCAGUUGGGCACUCUAGCGAGACCGCCGGUGAUAAACCGGAGGAAGGUGUGGAUGACGUCAAGUCAUCAUGCCCCUUACAUCCUGGGCUACACACGUACUACAAUGCUACGGACAAAGGGCAGCAAACUCGCGAGAGCUAGCAAA
rnacentral:rRNA from 1 species